GAUGAUGAUGACGAUGAUGAAACACUCACCGGUCGAGACAGUGAGCUCCAAGAUGAACCUAGGCCUUCCCCAGCUGGCAAGAGGACUACAUCUGCUGGACGAAGUGAAGUGAGUAGCCAUUCCCUUUUACCCACCAUUAACUGCAUAGUUGGUUGCACUGACACAUUAAGUCAUCAUAGGACAUCCGUGCAAUUUAUAAGCGGUAUCUCCUCCAUGCAACGGAGUAUAAGAGGCUACAGAUUAAGAAGAUCAAACUUGAGAUCAGGAAGAUGGAAAAGGAUCCUGACCUGCGUGACCCACCAACAUAACAUUCAAAUGUUUCAACACUACUAUGUCCUGUCUCACUUAGUCAGAGACACUGAACUUU